GAUGAACGCUGGCGGCGUGCCUAAUACAUGCAAGUCGAGCGAAUGGAUUAAGAGCUUGCUCUUAUGAAGUUAGCGGCGGACGGGUGAGUAACACGUGGGUAACCUGCCCAUAAGACUGGGAUAACUCCGGGAAACCGGGGCUAAUACCGGAUAACAUUUUGAGCCGCAUGGUUCGAAAUUGAAAGGCGGCUUCGGCUGUCACUUAUGGAUGGACCCGCGUUGCAUUAGCUAGUUGGUGAGGUAACGGCUCACCAAGGCAACGAUGCGUAGCCGACCUGAGAGGGUGAUCGGCCACACGGGGACUGGGACACGGCCCAGACUCCUACGGGAGGCAGCAGUAGGGAAUCUUCCGCAAUGGACGAAAGUCUGACGGAGCAACGCCGCGUGAGUGAUGAAGGCUUUCGGGUCGUAAAACUCUGUUGUUAGGGAAGAACAAGUGCUAGUUGAAUAAGCUGGCACCUUGACGGUACCUAACCAGAAAGCCACGGCUAACUACGUGCCAGCAGCCGCCGUAA
rnacentral:rRNA from 1 species